GUCUACAGCCAUACCACCUUGAACACAUCAGAUCUCAUCUGACCUUGGAAGCUAAACAGGGUCAGGCUUGGAUGGGAGAAUGGCAACUUAAUCCAAUUGUAGUAUACA
rnacentral:rRNA from 1 species